CCAUUUAAAUGCCUACCCUUCAAUCUCCCCUUCAAUUGUUUCGUAUUUGCUCCUUCAUUAUGGAUGAUUGAAACCAAACAUUGAAAUACCAAAUUGAAGACACGAAUUUAAUUCGCAUCAUCGUUUUGAAACCCCACAAUUAUUUAACUUGGAACCCUUACUUGAAUUCUUUGGUCAUUUGCGAUUUUAGUUGCCUAUUAUCAGGUUCGCAUAUGAAUACACAUUUAUACUCACUUAUCUACUUUCCGACACGAAUCAGGUACGCGCCCUUAUAUCUCACUCUUAAUCAUUCUUGCUAACGUAUUAAAUCUUGGAAAUUUGAUGUCUUAUUUACAAUUACUUUCUUAAAUUUAUCCAAUUAGGGUUGUGAUUAUGAUUGUAUAUGUUAAUCUAAUGCAACAACAAUAUGAUGAUGGAUAUGAAUUAGUUUCGGAACUAUCUGAAAAUUGAAAAAGAUACUCUGUUUGGGAAGAAAAAGGUUAGGUUUUAUGCAGAAUGUUGAUUUAGGAAGUCAAGGGUUUUGAUAUCAUUGGAAAAGUUAUGAUUAAGAGCAAUUGUAGUGUUGAGAUGUUGAAUUUAGUUUUGGAAGAGAUGAUUCAGAGAGGGAGAAUUAUACACUCUAGGAAGGUAAAAUGAGCCAUUGAGUUUGUUUUAGUGAUGGUUAGGGUUGGAAAUUAACGACACAACCCGAAUACAUGCCAUGAGUUGAUACAAAGUCAAUGACAACAAGGUUAGGACUGGAAAUUAACGACACAACCCGAUACAUCGUGUUUGAUUAUUGUAUGUUUGUUCGAGUUAGACCUUGUUUUGCUGCCUAUAGUGACUGAACCACACAGUCAAUGACAACAAGGAAAUCACGAUAUUAGACCAUAACAUAUGAAACUGACUGAGCUUGAAAUAUUGCUAAGUUGUGACAUGUACUAAUACUUUUGUGGAAUUGGGUGCCAUUGUGGAGAGUGGAGAAGACAACUUAAAAGUUUGGUUUCAUUUGGGAUGCCAUCGCAACACUUCAGAACGAUAUUGUUUUUUUAUAUUUCAGUUCUCAUCAUACUAAAUUAAGUCCAAUUGUUUUAUAGUCACCCAGUUUUUUCUUACUUUUUUCCAUCCUGUUGUUUGAUUCAAAGCACAUGGUAUGCAUUUUUUAUUUAUUGGUCGUGUGUAUAUUUUGUAAUUGUUUUCUGAUUUAAAAAUAUAAUAAAAUAUCAGGGCUUGCUCCUGAGAUUCCGGAGGAUUUAUACCACCCGAUCAAGAAGGCAGUUGCGAUCAGGAAGCACUUGGAGAGGAACCGAAAAGACAAAGAUUCAAAGUUCAGGUUGAUUCUAGUUGAGAGCAGGAUUCAUCGUCUUGCCCGUUACUACAAGAAGACCAAGAAGCUUCCCCCUGUCUGGAAAUACGAAUCAACCACUGCUGGCACUUUGGUGGCUUAGAGAAGUGUUCUGGAGGAAGGGAUUCGAUUUUUGAGUUUUAUGUUAUGUUUUUUAGUUGAAAUAUUGUUCUUUGUUUGGAACAUGGAAAGAUUGUGUUGUUUGAAGAACUUGUUAGAAAUGUAGCAUCAAUUUAUGCACUUUUCAUACCUUAUGUCUAUUUGGAAUUUUUAAGUUACAUU
rnacentral:lncRNA from 1 species